GACGAACGCUGGCGGCGUGCUUAACACAUGCAAGUGGAGCGACGAACCGGGCUUCGGCCCGGGGCAGAGCCGCGAACGGGUGAGUAACACGUGGGUAACGUGCCCCGAUGACUGGGACGAACCCGGGGAAACCCGGGCGUAAUACCAGAUGUGCCCUUCCGCCACCAGGCGGUCUGGUAAAGGUAGCUUCGGCUUCCGCAUCGGGAUCGGCCCGCGGCCCAUUAGCUUGUUGGUGGGGUAAAGGCCUACCAAGGCGACGAUGGGUAGCUGGUCUGAGAGGACGAUCAGCCACACUGGGACUGAGACACGGCCCAGACUCCCACGGGAGGCAGCAGUGGGGAAUCUUGCGCAAUGCGCG
rnacentral:rRNA from 1 species